ACGACACGAGUGGAGCUUGCGCAGAAGAGAGACUGCGAGAGAUCUCUCUCUCUCUCUCUCGUGCUCUUGGCCAGCAGUAGCGGCAGAAAUUGAGAGCAUUCGGCGGCGGGGCCCCGGGAAAAUAGUGGAACAAGAGCC
ensembl:ncRNA F13D12.11 ncRNA